UUAUGGUAAAUGUAAUAAUAUGAUGAUCGAACGGAUAUAUGAUUUAUCUUCAUUCUUCAGACUUCAGAGACAUCAGACAUUUUACUGUUUUUUUUAUUAAGUUUUGUCAUUUUUUACUUUUUAGUAACAAUUAUUAACGAUGGUACAGAUUGUGGGAGAAUGGCAGAUGAUAUUAUUAUGUAUUAUGGUAAUAAUAUCAGCUCAAGUUGUAUGAUGUCAAUUUGUAGUAAAUAGUAGUACAAUUUAGUCGUGAUGCUAUAAGAAACGCUGCAAAUAUAAUAUCCAUGGGUCUGAAUCUAAUUAAAUUUUUUGUAACCAAGAGCUUUGGCUAACAGAGCCGGCAGGCGUAUGGAGCGAUUAUACUUGUCACACCAUAAGACUACUAAUUAAAAAACAAACAAUUAAGAAGAUAUAAUUCAAUAUGAAACCAUUCAGAAAAACUAUUGAUGAUUGUGCGAUCAAUUCCAAUUCUAGAGUUCAAGAAUUUAAUGAAAAUAUUAAAAAGAAAAUUAUUGAUGAUCAUGUAUUUAACGGCAUUAUUAAAGAGGAAAUUAUUACUGAUGAAACAGACCUCAGCAAUGAUAGUGAAUUAUUGCAUCUAAGUUCUGGAGUGUUGCCUCUCUCACUUGAUGGUUGUUGUGUUCAAGAAUUUAAUGAAAAUAUUAAAAAGAAAAUUAUUGAUGAUCAAUUAUUUAAUGGCAUUAUUAAAAAGGAAAUUAUUGAUGAUCAAGUAUUUAAUGGCAUUAUUAAAGAGGAAAUUGCUGAUAAAACAAACUACAACAGUGACAAUCAACUAUUACAAAAUAUAUGGGGAGCAUGGUUGUCCCGAGAAAAACAGUUUUUGUUGUGCAUUUGUAAAAUAGAGACAACGCAUGCGGGCGUCCUCUUAAAUCAAAACUUCUAUCACGCAACUCAAAUACACUAUUUUACCACAGCUAUUUACGACCAAUAGUCACAUACGCGAGCGAAACUUGGUCACUGAUCAAAGAAGAUAGCGAACGUCUAGAAGACCAAGGACCUUAUGGGUGGAUGUCGAACCAGAUGAGUCUACGAUUAAUGAUUUUUUCAAGUAGCUUGCUCGAAAUAGUGUGCUGACUAGAGUGAUUGGGUGAUAGCCUUCAGGGAGAUGUUUAUUCUUAUUGGGCUUGAGGAUCAGGAUAACAAACCCAUGUCUUCAGUAUUUAGGGAAUACGUUAUUAAAGUGUUGAAAAUUUCGAGUAAGUUGUAACGAGACGAAAUGAUAUAUUCCUUCGAAUAGCGUGCACUUAUACCAUAUCCGUAAUAAAAUUCGUGGACGGAGCGCCACCCGCUGACUACUAUGUAACUAAUACAUGCGUUGUUCUCAACGCUACAUACAUGAAAACCACACUAGAUGUCGCCGUACGCGCCAGCUUCAUUGCACGUUGCGUACCAGCGACAUUUAAUUACAAAAAACUACGACUUAUAAGUUAAAUUAUUAACUUAUAAGUAAAACAGCAUCUUCGGAUUCGAUCAACAACACCAUAUGACAAUCCUCCGAAAAUAUACCAUCAAAUACCACCAAAACGCAACACCCAGAAGUCCAUAUUCUCGAAAACCAAAGCCGCCGGAGUAUAUGAUAAAUUGACCCCGACGAGCAGGCAAUAGUAAAUAUUGUAGUUUUCCGUCCUAUAGCUUAGUCGUGUCUGGUGUUCACCGUUCAAACGGGAGUACAAACAGCACGACAAUCCUCGUUACCGUCGCCGCCGCCGAACGCAGUUUCCGCCGCCGCCUACCACUUGCCGUGUCUGGUGUUCACCGUCCAACGGGAGCACAAACAGCACGACAAUCCUCGUUACCGUCGCCGCCGCCGAACGUAGUUUCCGCCGCCGCCUACCACUUGCCGUGUCUGGUGUUUCACCAUAUACUCGGGAGCACAGACAGCGCGGCAAGUAUCGUCCCAUCGCAACCGCCGAUCGAGCUGCCAUGUUGCAUUGCAAUUUCGUAACUGUAACAAACCGCCGAUCGAGCCGCCGUGUUGCAUUGCCGUUUCGGGAUUUUGAUACCGCCGAUCGAGUUUCAGUUGUGCACUGACGACUUGUAGUUUUUUUCGCACGUUCGCUCGAAUAUUAACAUUGUUGAUAACGCAGUGCGUUAUCAACAAUUUUACCUACUCUACUAACACACGUUAUUUUCACGUCAUCCAAGUAUUAAUAUUAUAUAAUAUUUCUAUUGUGCGACUGCCGACCAUUCGUCAUUAUCGUCAUCGCAGGAUAAACUCGGUUAAACUACACGCAACAUCUGAGUCAGUCACCAACAGUUACCAGGCAACGUCCGUGAGUCCAUUCCAAUCAUUUUAAUAUUGUAAAAUCAAUCCUUGUUAUACGUAUUUUUAAUUGUACAUUG
rnacentral:misc_RNA from 1 species